rnacentral:rRNA from 1 species
UACAUGUGGGGCAAGCGUUGUUCGGAAUUACUGGGCAUAAAGGGUGCGUAGGCGGUUUGUUAGGUCACUGGUGAAAGUUUUCGGCCCAACCGGAAAAUUGCCUGUGAUACCGGCGAACUUGAGUGCGUGAGGGGUGGGGGGAACGAGCAGUGUAGCGGUGAAAUGCGCAGAUAUCAGGAGGAACACCGGUGGCGAAGGCGGGUCUCUGGGCCGAUAUUGACGCUGAGGAGCGAAAGCGUGGGGAGCGAACAGG